CUGGUGCAGUGAUCUCCUCUGCAGUAUGGGGAGGAGUGAUCACUAGGCCAUCGCUCAUUCCCAUGCUGUCUAGUGGUUUGUCGACAGCAGAUCGUAAUUAGACCCCACGAUCUGCCCCCUGCAAAUGAUAUUUUAUUUUAACAUGUCAAAAGAUUUGGAUUGGCUGAUGAUCGAGCAGUUGGCAGUAGUAUUACACGGCCAGAUGAUCGCUAAUGAGCGUAAAUGCAAACACUUGUAGGAUAAUGCAUGCUUUCUCAGGGAGUCUCCUCACUCGGGGCCCUUCCACCCUUCCUUAUACAUGCACAGUGCACAGAUUCCAGGGGUAUAAUAAGAAAGCAGAAAAGCAAAAAUACAUUACAAAAUAGAGAGAAUCUGCAGUGUUUUACACCAUGUGCUAUUAACCCCUUCACCUCCACUAUAUUUUCUGGAUAUGAGCAUGGGUUGUGC